rnacentral:lncRNA from 1 species
GUAUAGUAGUAUGACAAAAUAAAAAUUAAUUUUUUGUUAGCAAUAGGUACAUAAUAACAGUCUCUAAAUAUCAAAUUAAAUCUAGAUGGUAAUCGCAGAGGAUAGGUGUCCACGAUCAUAGUAGCAACUCUUGCCCCAUUGUCAAUCUGAAGGAUCAUUUCACCUUCCCUCAACACUCUACUUUCUUUUAGAUCCACAUUGAAGUACACAAGUGAGUACUUGAACCAAAAUCUAUAACCCAAAUAGAUAUAGAAAAAACCGUAAGGUUAGUUUCAAUAAUCGA